rnacentral:lncRNA from 1 species
GCAUUUUCAAUUAUAUAUAUUAAAGUUAGUACUCACUACGCUUAUACAUUGGAACUUUGACAAAUGAUUUUAAUUAAUAAUGAGGUCAAGUAAACAUAUAAUCAUAAUAAAUCUUUCACCUACUUCUUUGGCCAAAAGCAGGCAACCUUUUUAGCUCCAAUAUAACCAUUUAAUUCCAACAACACCCAUCUUUUUUGCCCUAGCCACUUUCAUUUAUACCUACUACAUAAUACUUGUAAUUAGUUAUAUCAACAUAUCUUUGUUUCAAUAAAUUACAGCAUUGUAAUUGUAUAGUAUAUGAUGAAGAAACGACAUUCUAGUAUACCAUCUUACUUGUCACGGCGAAAAUACAAAUGAAACCUUUUUUUUUUGGCUACAAGAAUAUAUACAUGAAUCCAUUGAUCUAAAAAAUAAAAAGUCACUCUCAAGAAAAAUUUCUAGGAUAUUUCAACAGAUAUAUAUAUAUAUAACAAUUAAAAUCAAGAAACUAGAGAGAGAAUGGAAAAACAAUUAAAUAAAAUCAAGAAAAAGAAACAAAUUGAUACCCAACAAGGGUGCGGAGCAAGUGAAAUAGUGUAAUACGUGAUAUUGGCACGGCUCAAUCAAAUAACAAAGUUCUAAACAGAAAGAAUUCGAUUUUCUGAUUGAACUGCACCAAUAUCUCGUAUAUAUACGUAUUUUCAAAUAUAUAUCUAAAAGAACUAAAUUCAAAAUCUUACCAUGAUAUCCAAGCAAAG